rnacentral:rRNA from 1 species
CCACAUUGGGACUGAGAUACGGCCCAGACUCCUACGGGAGGCAGCAGUGGGGAAUAUUGCACAAUGGGCGCAAGCCUGAUGCAGCGACGCCGCGUGCGGGAUGACGGCCUUCGGGUUGUAAACCGCUUUUGAUCGGGAGCAAGCCUUCGGGUGAGUGUACCUUUCGAAUAAGCACCGGCUAACUACGUGCCAGCAGCCGCGGUAAUACGUAGGGUGCAAGCGUUAUCCGGAAUUAUUGGGCGUAAAGGGCUCGUAGGCGGUUCGUCGCGUCCGGUGUGAAAGUCCAUCGCUUAACGGUGGAUCUGCGCCGGGUACGGGCGGGCUGGAGUGCGGUAGGGGAGACUGGAAUUCCCGGUGUAACGGUGGAAUGUGUAGAUAUCGGGAAGAACACCAAUGGCGAAGGCAGGUCUCUGGGCCGUUACUGACGCUGAGGAGCGAAAGCGUGGGGAGCGAACAGGAUUAGAUACCCUGGUAGUCCACGCCGUAAACGGUGGAUGCUGGAUGUGGGGCCCGUUCCACGGGUUCCGUGUCGGAGCUAACGCGUUAAGCAUCCCGCCUGGGGAGUACGGCCGCAAGGCUAAAACUCAAAGAAAUUGACGGGGGCCCGCACAAGCGGCGGAGCAUGCGGAUUAAUUCGAUGCAACGCGAAGAACCUUACCUGGGCUUGACAUGUUCCCGACAGCCGUAGAGAUAUGGCCUCCCUUCGGGGCGGGUUCACAGGUGGUGCAUGGUCGUCGUCAGCUCGUGUCGUGAGAUGUUGGGUUAAGUCCCGCAACGAGCGCAACCCU